AGCUCGAUGGCGCAGCGGAAGCGCGGUAAGUUUAAACAUAUCCCCUAUCUUGAGUAAGAUACUAAUUUGUGCUGCAGCCGGGCUCAUAACCCGGAGGUCGCUGGAUCGAAACCAGCUCGAGCUA